rnacentral:rRNA from 1 species
GACGAACGCUGGCGGCGUGCCUAACACAUGCAAGUCGAGCGGAGCCAUCCGAUGGAUUCCUUCGGGAUGAAAUUGGUGAAGCUUAGCGGCGGACGGGUGAGUAACGCGUGAGUAACCUGCCCAUAAGAGAGGGAUAACACAGAGAAAUUUGUGCUAAUACCUCAUAAUGCCAGACUGAGACAUCUCUAACUGGCCAAAGAUUUAUCGGCAAAGGAUGGGCCUGCGUCUGAUUAGCUAGUUGGUGGGGUAACGGCCUACCAAGGCGACGAUCAGUAGCCGACCUGAGAGGGUGAUCGGCCACAUUGGAACUGAGACACGGUCCAAACUCCUACGGGAGGCAGCAGUGGGGAAUAUUGCACAAUAGGGCGAAAGACCUGAUGCAGCAACGCCGCGUGAAGGAAGUUUAAGGCUUCGGAUCGUAAACUUACUGUCCUUAGGGAAGAGUAAUGACGGUAACCUUUGGUAGGAAGCCCGGCUAACUACGUAGCCAGC